rnacentral:rRNA from 1 species
AUUCCAGCUCCAAUAGCGUAUAUUAAAGUUGUUGCAGUUAAAAAGCUCGUAGUUGGAUUUCUGGCAGGAGUGACUGACCACAAACUCUGUUUGUGAGUUGUGUCAUUCUGGCCAUCCUUGGUAAGAUCCUUUUUGGCAUUAAGUUGUCGGGAAGGGGAUGACCAUCGUUUACUGUGAAAAAAUUAGAGUGUUUAAAGCAGGCUUAUGCCGUUGAAUAUAUUAGCAUGGAAUAAUAAGAUAGGACUUUGAGUCUAUUUUGUUGGUUUGCGAGUCAAAGUAAUGAUUAAUAGGGAUAGUUGGGGGCAUUCGUAUUUAACUGUCAGAGGUGAAAUUCUUGGAUUCGUUAAAGACGGACUACUGCGAAAGCAUUUGCCAAGGAUGUUUUCAUCA